rnacentral:snoRNA from 1 species
UUGCACGAUGAAAAAGAGCAUCUGCUCGAAUAACCCAGCUCUUUGAGAAGGGAGUAACGCCCCAGAUUCUUUGAAAACAUUUAUUGUCCUUCUGAUAUUCCAUAUCUGCCUUGUUCC